rnacentral:tRNA from 1 species
UGCGGGAUAGAGCAGCCUGGUUAGCUCGUCAGGUUCAUAACCUGAAGGUCGUAGGUUCAAAUCCUGCUCCCGCAA